GGUCGGUUAGCUCAGUUGGUUAGAGCGUCGUACUAAUAUCCUAUCGUGAUUCCAACAUGGUAAAAUAUCGGUCCAUGCGAAGGUCAUGGGUUCGACCCCCAUACUGACCA